GAUGAACGCUGGCGGCGUGCCUAAUACAUGCAAGUCGAGCGAACAGACGAGGAGCUUGCUCCUCUGACGUUAGCGGCGGACGGGUGAGUAACACGUGGAUAACCUACCUAUAAGACUGGGAUAACUUCGGGAAACCGGAGCUAAUACCGGAUAAUAUAUUGAACCGCAUGGUUCAAUAGUGAAAGACGGUUUUGCUGUCACUUAUAGAUGGAUCCGCGCCGCAUUAGCUAGUUGGUAAGGUAACGGCUUACCAAGGCAACGAUGCGUAGCCGACCUGAGAGGGGGAUCGGCCACAGUGGAACUGAGACACGGGCCAGACACCUAGGGGAGGCAGCAGUAGGGAAUCUUCCGCAAUGGGCGAAAGCCUGACGGAGCAACGCCGCGCGAGUGAUGAAGGGCUGCGGAUCGUAAAACUCUGUUAUGAGGGAAGAACAAAUGUGUAAGUAACGAUGCACGUCUGGACGGUACCUAAUCAGAAAGCCACGGCUAACUACGU
rnacentral:rRNA from 1 species